rnacentral:misc_RNA from 1 species
UUGGGCGUCAUCUUUUCUCGCUUUCAACUAUGUCUACUGAAUAUGGGCGGUGUUUAUACCCCCUCUGACCCGCACGAUCAUUUGUACCAUGGAACGCAUGAUCGUUGUUAAACGUUCGUAAGUUAAUGAUGACUUGGAUCGCAUUCGGUCGUGUCUGAAUAGUGUACAUGUCCACUAUUCUUAGGAGACUUGAUACGAGCACUAAAACGCAUGCAACGAAUUCAUGAGCUCGUGCAACGUACGAGAGAGCUCGUGCGAAUCCAAAAAAAUCUGAUCGCAAAGUGUUGUAAAGUGCUCGUGUGCCAAUUGCAAAAGGGGCUUUAGCUUAUCAGGUUUCAAUAGAGUGCUAAAAAUGGAUUUUGUAUUGCAGCAAGCCCGGAUGAUAACGCUGAAAAAUUGUUUGAUGUAUUCCAAGUGUACUCCGAUUCGAGAAAAGAUGUAAACAUUCCCCAUUAUAAAUCUCCAUUAGGAAUCUGUUUUCGUUCCCGUAAAUUUUUCCGAGUGAAAGAUAAUAAUGUGGAAAUGAAAUUAUCUUGGAAAUUAUCCCUUUCAACUAUUUCAAAUGCAUUUCUUUCACAGGUGAAAACAAAAACAGAUAUGUUCUGGGAUAUCUGAUGUGGCGAACUCUCAUGGGCUUGCAUCACGAUAUUCAGCUGUCAAUGCAGGAUCCAUACCAUGGCCGAUGUCUUGUUGAUGCCGGAUUUGCUAACAUAAAGCGGCUGUACCACAGGACGGAUGUAGAUAGCCUUUCCGGUCUUGUUGAGGUAGGAAAAGCGCCAGAUCAAACUCUCCCGUUACCUACAUCAACGACGCUGGAGAACACAGCUGGGAGUGGUAUGAUUGGAAGUCGUUUACCAGCACGUUCUUCACAAAUGUGAAAGGCAUCCGGAAAAUGCGACAUUUUAGAUUUUCAUCAUUAUCACCGGGAAAACUGUUCGUCAAAAGUCACGCCGAUGACAGUGAACGAGAAAUCACGCUUCUGAAAUCCAGUAUCAGUCCGGAAGACAUAACAACAGGGUCAGUGAUGCCCGACAUUUUACCUCCCGGCGGGAUGACCUCAGAGAGGCAACGUUAUCUGUUCCGUGUUGUUCGCCCUUUUGUACGAGAUCCUUUUAAGGACACUACCUGUCCAGAGGCUGAAGAGUGAUGAAGAUGAUGAUAAAAUGAACGGUUUUAAAUGCAAACAUAAUGUAUUGUUAGGAUUCAUUUAAUGACAUUGAAAGUGUAUUUAUUUUCGUUUUCCAACACGUUUGAAUUUUGUUUUAUUUGAACAUUUUAAACAUUUGAAAAUGUCAAUUAGUUUAGUGAAAUAUAUUUCUUCAGGAC